GACGAACGCUGGCGGCGUGCUUAACACAUGCAAGUCGAACGGAAAGGACCUGCUUUUGUGGGGUGCUCGAGUGGCGAACGGGUGAGUAACACGUGAGUAACCUGCCCUUGACUUUGGGAUAACUUCAGGAAACUGGGGCUAAUACCGGAUAGGAGCUCCUGCUGCAUGGUGGGGGUUGGAAAGUUUCGGCGGUUGGGGAUGGACUCGCGGCUUAUCAGCUUGUUGGUGGGGUAGUGGCUUACCAAGGCUUUGACGGGUAGCCGGCCUGAGAGGGUGACCGGCCACAUUGGGACUGAGAUACGGCCCAGACUCCUUCGGGAGGCAGCAGUGGGGAAUAUUGCACAAUGGGCGGAAGCCUGAUGCAGCAACGCCGCGUGCGGGAUGACGGCCUUCGGGUUGUAAACCGCUUUCGCCUGUGACGAAGCGUGAGUGACGGUAAUGGGUAAAGAAGCACCGGCUAACUACGUG
rnacentral:rRNA from 1 species